rnacentral:rRNA from 1 species
ACGGUAUGGGGGCAACUCCAUAUAGUGGCGCAAGGGUUAGUAAUACAUGGGUAACCUACUUCCGACGUGGGAACAACGGCUGGAAACGGCCGCUAAUACCUGAUGAGGUUGGGCAAGGCAUCUUGCCUUUAUCAAAGCGGGGGACCGAAAGGCCUCGCAGUUGGAGAGGAGCCCAUGGGAUAUCAGCUAGUAGGUAGGGUAACGGCCUACCUAGG